GCCGGGCAUGAUGGCUCAUGCCUGUAAUCUCAGCACUUUGGGAAGCUGAGACGGGUGGAUCACCUGAGGUCAGGAGUUCGAGACCAGCCUGGCCAACAUGGUGAAACCCCGUCUCUA
rnacentral:SRP_RNA from 1 species